rnacentral:misc_RNA from 1 species
AAGUCGUAACAAGGUUUCCGUAGGUGAACCUGCGGAAGGAUCAUUAUUGGAAUAGAUCGUCUUUUUGGAUGAUCUUAGGUUUGUCGGCGCACCCCGCACACCUGGAUCGACACCAUUUGUCGACGUACGCUGGCAUGACUGCCGGGUGUAAAAACUCGUGUACGAGAGCUGCGUAUGGGUGUUUAAAGGGUCGCCGUCUUUUCCUAAAAACCAUUUUGUGCACCGUAUAUGCAUUUGCGUAGCUUUCUAUGUUUGUCUGAUGUUAGCUUUUUUCUACUUCGGCUUUUUUGGCAGAAGAAUAAAAAGAAAACAACUUUUAACAAUGGAUCUCUUGGCUCUC